rnacentral:misc_RNA from 1 species
UCAAACUUGGUCAUUUAGAGGAAGUAAAAGUCGUAACAAGGUUUCCGUAGGUGAACCUGCGGAAGGAUCAUCACUGAUUCGCGGGGUCUGUGUUCCUGUGUGUGUGCUGUAUAGCGCGCGCGCACAGCGAGCCGCCCCAAACCAAUCUUGUGUGCACCGUUUCACUGGUCAGAGGAUGACGUGUGGUGGUUGUGUGUGUUGGUGGGGAGUGCGUGCAUAUCACAGCAAUGUGUGCCCGCCGCCCACCGACUGCACGCACCCCGUCGUUCUAAAUUUACACAAUAAUCUCUUAGAUUUAACUUUGUCUAACGCACAUUACUUGAAAUAACACAUACAACUUUUAACAAUGGAUCUCUUGGCUCUCGCAUCGAUGAAGAACGCAGC